GACGAACGCUGGCGGCGUGCCUAAUACAUGCAAGUCGAACGCAGUGGGGACGGGUGAGUAACACGUGGGUAACCUCCCAUCAGAGGGGAUAACACUUGGAAACAGGUGCUAAACUGAUAUUGAUGGAUGUACCUGCGGUGCAUUAGCUAGUUGGUGAGGUAACGGCUAACCAAGGCCACGAUGCAUAGCCGGCCUGAGAGGAUGAUCGGCCACACUGGGACUGAGACACGGCCCAGACUCCUACGGGAGGCAGCAGUGGGGAAUAUUGGGCAAUGGGCGAAAGUCUGACCGAGCAACGCCGCGUGAGUGAAGAAGGUUUUCGGGUCGUAAAACUCUGUUGGUAGAGAAGCGGUAUCUAACCAGAAAGCCACGGCUAACUCCGUGCCAGCAGCCGCGGUAAUAC
rnacentral:rRNA from 1 species